rnacentral:rRNA from 1 species
GCAUCGAUGAAGAACGCAGCGAAAUGCGAUAAGUAAUGUGAAUUGCAGAAUUCAGUGAAUCAUCGAAUUUUUGAACGCACCUUGCGCUCCUUGGUAUUCCGAGGAGCAUGCCUGUUUGAGUGUCAUGUUAAUUCUCAAACCUUUGUGUUUGGUUUUGGAGGCUCUGCUUGUCUCAAAGCUCCUCUCAAAUGCAUUGGCUAACUUGGGCUGGAUUUAUCUCAGUGUUGUAAUCUACUGCGCUGAAAAACUAGCUUUGAGUUGGCUGACUUAACAUUUCUUGUACUCUGACCUCAGAUCAGGUAGGACUACCCGCUGAACUUAAGCAUAUCAAUAAGCGGAGGA